rnacentral:rRNA from 1 species
GACGAACGCUGGCGGCGUGCUUAACACAUGCAAGUCGAGCGGUAAGGCCCUUUCGGGGGUACACGAGCGGCGAACGGGUGAGUAACACGUGGGUGACCUGCCCUCAGCUCUGGGAUAAGCCCGGGAAACUAGGGUCUAAUACCGGAUAUGACUCCAUGACGCAUGUUGUGGGGUGGAAAGCCUUGUGCGGCUGAGGAUGGGCCCGCGGCCUAUCAGCUUGUUGGUGGGGUGAUGGCCUACCAAGGCGACGACGGGUAGCCGGCCUGAGAGGGCGACCGGCCACACUGGGACUGAGAUACGGCCCAGACUCCUACGGGAGGCAGCAGUGGGGAAUCUUGCGCAAUGGGCGAAAGCCUGACGCAGCGACGCCGCGUGAGGGAUGACGGCCU